CCAAAAUUUCCCUUUUUUAAUGGAAAAAUCUGCCCAGGUCGGGUCAGGGGUCACACAGUGACCGCUCCUUGUGGUCACUCAGGGGUCACUCAGGGGUCACUCAGGGGUCACUCAGGGGUCACUCAGGGGUCACUCAGGGGUCACUCAGGGGUAACUCAGGGGUCACUCAGGGGUCAGAGGUCACUCAGAGGUCACUCAGGGGUCACUCAGAGGUCAGAGGUCACUCAGUGGUCACUCCUGGCCGCAGAAGGCAGCGUGAGCCCCCAGGGCGACCCCUCCGGCCACGGCGAUGGCGACUUCGGACAUCAGAGUGACCACGGCCACGGCCAGCGGCUGCU